rnacentral:rRNA from 1 species
UACGUAGGGGGCAAGCGUUGUUCGGAAUUACUGGGCGUAAAGGGCGCGUAGGCGGCAUGGCAAGUCGGGAGUGAAAGCCCGGGGCUCAACCCCGGAGGGUCUCUCGAAACUGCCAAGCUAGAGUGCGGAAGAGGCAACUGGAAUUCCCAGUGUAGCGGUGAAAUGCGUAGAUAUCGGGAGGAACAUCAGUGGCGAAGGCGGCCUUCUGGUCCAGUACUGACACUCAAGUGCAAAAGCGUGGGGAGCAAACAGG